AUAAUGGGUCAGCGACUUAUAUUCUGUAGCAAGGUUAACCGAAUAGGGGAGCCGAAGGGAAACCGAGUCUUAACUGGGCGUUAAGUUGCAGGGUAUAGACCCGAAACCCGGUGAUCUAGCCAUGGGCAGGUUGAAGGUUGGGUAACACUAACUGGAGGACCGAACCGACUAAUGUUGAAAAAUUAGCGGAUGACUUGUGGCUGGGGGUGAAAGGCCAAUCAAACCGGGAGAUAGCUGGUUCUCCCCGAAAGCUAUUUAGGUAGCGCCUCGUGAAUUCAUCUCCGGGGGUAGAGCACUGUUUCGGCAAGGGGGUCAUCCCGACUUACCAACCCGAUGCAAACUGCGAAUACCGGAGAAUGUUAUCACGGGAGACACACGGCGGGUGCUAACGUCCGUCGUGAAGAGGGAAACAACCCAGACCGCCAGCUAAGGUCCCAAAGUCAUGGUUAAGUGGGAAACGAUGUGGGAAGGCCCAGACAGCCAGGAUGUUGGCUUAGAAGCAGCCAUCAUUUAAAGAAAGCGUAAUAGCUCACUGGUCGAGUCGGCCUGCGCGGAAGAUGUAACGGGGCUAAACCAUGCACCGAAGCUGCGGCAGCGACGCUGAUGCGUUGUUGGGUAGGGGAGCGUUCUGUAAGCCUGUGAAGGUGUGCUGUGAGGCAUGCUGGAGGUAUCAGAAGUGCGAAUGCUGACAUAAGUAACGAUAAAGCGGGUGAAAAGCCCGCUCGCCGGAAGACCAAGGGUUCCUGUCCAACGUUAAUCGGGGCAGGGUGAGUCGACCCCUAAGGCGAGGCCGAAAGGCGUAGUCGAUGGGAAACAGGUUAAUAUUCCUGUACUUGGUGUUACUGCGAAGGGGGGACGGAGAAGGCUAUGUUGGCCGGGCGACGGUUGUCCCGGUUUAAGCGUGUAGGCUGGUUUUCCAGGCAAAUCCGGAAAAUCAAGGCUGAGGCGUGAUGACGAGGCACUACGGUGCUGAAGCAACAAAUGCCCUGCUUCCAGGAAAAGCCUCUAAGCAUCAGGUAACAUCAAAUCGUACCCCAAACCGACACAGGUGGUCAGGUAGAGAAUACCAAGGCGCUUGAGAGAACUCGGGUGAAGGAACUAGGCAAAAUGGUGCCGUAACUUCGGGAGAAGGCACGCUGAUAUGUAGGUGAAGUCCCUCGCGGAUGGAGCUGAAAUCAGUCGAAGAUACCAGCUGGCUGCAACUGUUUAUUAAAAACACAGCACUGUGCAAACACGAAAGUGGACGUAUACGGUGUGACGCCUGCCCGGUGCCGGAAGGUUAAUUGAUGGGGUCAGCGCAAGCGAAGCUCUUGAUCGAAGCCCCGGUAAACGGCGGCCGUAACUAUAACGGUCCUAAGGUAGCGAAAUUCCUUGUCGGGUAAGUUCCGACCUGCACGAAUGGCGUAAUGAUGGCCAGGCUGUCUCCACCCGAGACUCAGUGAAAUUGAACUCGCUGUGAAGAUGCAGUGUACCCGCGGCAAGACGGAAAGACCCCGUGAACCUUUACUAUAGCUUGACACUGAACAUUGAGCCUUGAUGUGUAGGAUAGGUGGGAGGCUUUGAAGUGUGGACGCCAGUCUGCAUGGAGCCGGCCUUGAAAUACCACCCUUUAAUGUUUGAUGUUCUAACGUUGACCCGUUAUCCGGGUUGCGGACAGUGUCUGGUGGGUAGUUUGACUGGGGCGGUCUCCUCCUAAAGAGUAACGGAGGAGCACGAAGGUUGGCUAAUCCUGGUCGGACAUCAGGAGGUUAGUGCAAUGGCAUAAGCCAGCUUGACUGCGAGCGUGACGGCGCGAGCAGGUGCGAAAGCAGGUCAUAGUGAUCCGGUGGUUCUGAAUGGAAGGGCCAUCGCUCAACGGAUAAAAGGUACUCCGGGGAUAACAGGCUGAUACCGCCCAAGAGUUCAUAUCGACGGCGGUGUUUGGCACCUCGAUGUCGGCUCAUCACAUCCUGGGGCUGAAGUAGGUCCCAAGGGUAUGGCUGUUCGCCAU
rnacentral:rRNA from 1 species